rnacentral:rRNA from 1 species
ACUGCGAGUGAAGCGGCAAAAGCUCAAAUUUGAAAUCUGGUACCUUUGGGUGCUCGAGUUGUAAUUUGGAGAGGCAACUUCGGAGGGGGCGCUGGCCUAAGUUCCUUGGAACAGGACGUCACAGAGGGUGAGAAUCCCGUGCUUGGCUGGCUGUCCUCCUUCAUGUGAAGUGUCUUCGACGAGUCGAGUUGUUUGGGAAUGCAGCUCAAAAUGGGUGGUAAACUCCAUCUAAGGCUAAAUAUUGGCGAGAGACCGAUAGCGCACAAGUAGAGUGAUCGAAAGAUGAAAAGCACUUUGAAAAGAGAGUUAAACAGUACGUGAAAUUGUUGAAAGGGAAGCGCUUGAGACCAGACUCGGUAAUUGGUGAUCAGCGGUAGCUUCUGCUCCGUGCACUUGCCUUUUACUGGGCCAGCAUCAGUUGCGACGGCAGGAUAAAGGCUCAGGGAAUGUGGCUCUCUUCGGGGAGUGUUAUAGCCCUGGGUGUAAUGCUGCCUGCCGCGACUGAGGACCGCGCUUCGGCUAGGAUGCUGGCAUAAUGGUCUUCAGCGACCCGUCUUGAAACACGGACCAAGGAGUCUAACAUCUAUGCGAGUGUUCGGGUGUAAAACCCCUGCGCGUAAUGAAAGUGAACGGAGGUGGGAACUCUUCGGAGUGCACCAUCGACCGAUCCUGAUGUCUUCGGAUGGAUUUGAGUAGGAGCAUAGCUGUUGGGACCCGAAAGAUGGUGAACUAUGCCUGAAUAGGGUGAAGCCAGAGGAAACUCUGGUGGAGGCUCGCAGCGGUUCUGACGUGCAAAUCGAUCGUCAAAUUUGGGUAUAGGGGCGAAAGACUAAUCGAACCAUCUAGUAGCU